CUAUGAUCCAGAGAUUUCCGAAUGGGGGAACCCAGCAUCUUUUAUAGGAUGUUACGUAUACGUGAAUACAUAGCGUAUACGAGGUAGACGCAGAGAACUGAAACAUCUAAGUACCUGCAGGAAGAGAAAGAAAAAUCGAUUCCCCAAGUAGCGGCGAGCGAAAAGGGACCAGCCCAAACCAAGAUGCUUGCAUCUUGGGGUUGUAGGACUCCGAUAUGGUAGUUCUUUCAGAUAGUCGAAUGACUUGGAAAAGUCAGUCAAAGAGGGUAAAAACCCCGUAGACGAAAUUUGGAAGGCACCUAGGAGGAUCCUGAGUACGGCGGAACACGAGGAAUUCCGUCGGAAUCCGGGAGGACCAUCUCCCAAGGCUAAAUACUCCCUAGUGACCGAUAGUGAACCAGUACCGUGAGGGAAAGGUGAAAAGCACCCCGGAAGGGGAGUGAAAUAGAUCCUGAAACCGUGUGCCUACAAC
rnacentral:rRNA from 1 species